rnacentral:rRNA from 1 species
GAUGAACGCUGGCGGCGUGCCUAAUACAUGCAAGUCGAGCGAACAGACGAGGAGCUUGCUCCUUUGACGUUAGCGGCGGACGGGUGAGUAACACGUGGAUAACCUACCUAUAAGACUGGGAUAACUUCGGGAAACCGGAGCUAAUACCGGAUAAUAUUUCGAACCGCAUGGUUCAAUAGUGAAAGAUGGCUUUGCUGUCACUUAUAGAUGGACCCGCGCCGUAUUAGCUAGUUGGUAAGGUAACAGCUUACCAAGGCAACGAUGCGUAGCCGACCUGAGAGGGUGAUCGGCCACACUGGAACUGAGACACGGUCCAGACUCCUACGGGAGGCAGCAGUAGGGAAUCUUCCGCAAUGGGCGAAAGCCUGACGGAGCAACGCCGCGUGAGUGAUGAAGGUCUUCGGAUCGUAAAACUCUGUUAUUAGGGAAGAACAAAUGUGUAAGUAACUGUGCACGUCUUGACGGUACCUAAUCAGAAAGCCACGGCUAACUACGUG